CGAGGGUCGGCCUAGGGUGAAACCGGUGAUUGGGGCUAAGUCGUAACAAGGUAGCCGUACCGGAAGGUGCGGCUGGAACACCUCCUUUCUGGAG
rnacentral:rRNA from 1 species